rnacentral:rRNA from 1 species
GACGUAGGGCGCGAGCGUUGUCCGGAUUUAUUGGGCGUAAAGAGCUCGUAGGCGGCUUGUCGCGUCGACUGUGAAAACUUGGGGCUCAACCCCAAGCUUGCAGUCGAUACGGGCAGGCUAGAGUUCGGGAGAGGGAUGCGGAAUUCCAGGUGUAGCGGUGAAAUGCGUAGAUAUCAGGAGGAACACCGGUGGCGAAGGCGGGUCUCUGGGCAACAACUGACGCUGAGGAGCGAAAGCGUGGGGAGCGAACAGG